UUUGCAAAGGGAGAGAUGAUGACUCUUCAAAUGCCACUGCAUUGCUGAAAGGACUUACAAAGAAAUGUUGUCUGUGAAUAUUUGAGCAGGAGAGCAUUCUGCACUGGGACGUCCCUGGAUGUGCUGUGACAUGAAGUUCUGACUUCACGUGGGUUGCAAGCGGGUUGCUGUUGUUAGCCUGCAGUGUGAGAAGGCUUUUAAAAGGUCCCAGUCAGAUGCUUUACCUUUACAUGCCCAUCUCCUGGGAUUUUUAAGGUAAACAUGCCCACUCUUCGCUGUUGCUGUCUCUGAGCUUCUUCAGAAGAGAUGUGUGAUUUUCUCCAGAAAACAAGACAUCUGAAUAUUUUCCUAUGCCAUGUUUCUGUCAAAGCCUGGUCCCAGUCGUUCAGCGGGAAGGGAGCCAAGAGCUCAUGCUGAAGAGGUAACAGCUCCUCUGCUCUCCGGCCCCAAAUGGCUCCACUAAGAAAUUUCUGAGAAUCUCUCCUUCCUCUCGUCAAGUUUUGAUUUCAGCACAUCAGCAUUUCUGAGCGAGGGGGAAAAAAGGAAAGCAUACAAAUCCCAAACAAUGCAUUUCUUGGAACAUUCCCAGCUGUAUAACCAGGUAACGUACCAGGCAUUCAGGAGAGCUGGCUUCAGUGCAAGACCUGGGGGAGUCGCUCAGGGUAAGAUUCCAA